rnacentral:rRNA from 1 species
CAAUAGCGUAUAUUAAAGUUGUUGUAGUUAAAAAGCUCGUAGUUGGAUUUCUGGUAGGAGUGACCGUGCCAGACUUGAUUGUCUGUGUAUUGUGUUGUCUCCAGCCAUCCUUGUGGAGAACUUUUCUUGCAUUAAUUUGUAGGGAUUGGGACCCGCAUCGUUUACUGUGAAAAAAUUAGAGUGUUUAAAGCAGGCAAUCGCUUGAAUACAUUAGCGUGGAAUAAUAAGAUAGGACUUUGGUACUAUUUUGUUGGUUUGCAUACCAAAUUAAUGAUCAACAGGAACAGUUUGAGGAUAUUCGUAUGAACAUGUCAGAGGUGAAAUUCUUGGAUUUUGAUCAGACGAACUACUGCGAAAGCAUUUAUCAAGGAUGUUUUCAUUAA